rnacentral:tRNA from 1 species
UUGGUAGAAGCCAAAAAGAGGCUUAUCACUGUUAAUGAUAGAAUUGAAUUACUUUCCUACCAAG